rnacentral:tRNA from 1 species
UCCCUUUUAGCAAAAAAUAGUGCGAGAAAUUAAGGAUUUCUAGGAGCGGUGUGUCCGUAAAGGGAA